rnacentral:rRNA from 1 species
CUACGUGCCAGCAGCCGCGGUAAUACGGAGGGUGCGAGCGUUAAUCGGAAUAACUGGGCGUAAAGGGCACGCAGGCGGUGACUUAAGUGAGGUGUGAAAGCCCCGGGCUUAACCUGGGAAUUGCAUUUCAUACUGGGUCGCUAGAGUACUUUAGGGAGGGGUAGAAUUCCACGUGUAGCGGUGAAAUGCGUAGAGAUGUGGAGGAAUACCGAAGGCGAAGGCAGCCCCUUGGGAAUGUACUGACGCUCAUGUGCGAAAGCGUGGGGAGCAAACAGGAUUAGAUACCCUGGUAGUCCACGCUGUAAACGAUGUCGAUUUGGGGGUUGARCUUURRGYUUGGCGCCCGUAGCUAACGUGAUAAAUCGACCGCCUGGGGAGUACGGCCGCAAGGUUAAAACUCAAAUGAAUUGACGGGGGCCCGCACAAGCGGUGGAGCAUGUGGUUUAAUUCGAUGCAACGCGAAGAACCUUACCUACUCUUGACA